GAACUUAGCAGAGAUGCUUUGGUGCCUUCGGGAACUCUGAGACAGGUGCUGCAUGGCUGUCGUCAGCUCGUGUUGUGAAAUGUUGGGUUAAGUCCCGCAACGAGCGCAACCCUUAUCCUUUGUUGCCAGCGGUUAGGCCGGGAACUCAAAGGAGACUGCCAGUGAUAAACUGGAGGAAGGUGGGGAUGACGUCAAGUCAUCAUGGCCCUUACGAGUAGGGCUACACACGUGCUACAAUGGCGCAUACAAAGAGAAGCGACCUCGCGAGAGCAAGCGGACCUCAUAAAGUGCGUCGUAGUCCGGAUUGGAGUCUGCAACUCGACUCCAUGAAGUCGGAAUCGCUAGUAAUCGUGGAUCAGAAUGCCACGGUGAAUACGUUCCCGGGCCUUGUACACACCGCCCGUCACACCAUGGGAGUGGGUUGCAAAAGAAGUAGGUAGCUUAACCUUCGGGAGGGCGCUUACCACUUUGUGAUUCAUGACUGGGGUGAAGUCGUAACAAGGUAGGCGUAGUGCU
rnacentral:rRNA from 1 species